ensembl:snRNA LOC120103226 U6 spliceosomal RNA
GUGACACACACACACUAAGUAUGAAACAAUACAGAGAAGAUUAGCAUGGCUUCUACAAAUGGAUAACACACAAAUUCAGGAACAUUUCAUACUUUGU